AGAGUUUGAUCCUGGCUCAGAGCGAACGCUGGCGGCAUGCUUAACACAUGCAAGUCGCACGGUCAGCAAUGGCAGUGGCGGACGGGUGAGUAACACGUAGGAAUCUAUCCUUGAAUGGGGGACAACCGUGGGAAACUACGGCUAAUACCGCAUGAUGCCUGAGGGCCAAAGACGUAAGUCGUUUGAGGAGGAGCCUGCGUCUGAUUAGCUUGUUGGUGGGGUAAAGGCCUACCAAGGCGACGAUCAGUAGCUGGUCUGAGAGGAUGAUCAGCCACAUUGGGACUGAGACACGGCCCAAACUCCUACGGGAGGCAGCAGUGGGGAAUAUUGGACAAUGGGGGCAACCCUGAUCCAGCAAUGCCGCGUGGGUGAAGAAGGUCUUCGGAUUGUAAAGCCCUUUUGGCAGGGACGAUGAUGACGGUACCUGCAGAAUAAGCCCCGGCUAACUUCGUGCCAGCAGCCGCGGUAAUACGAAGGGGGCUAGCGUUGCUCGGAAUGACUGGGCGUAAAGGGCGCGUAGGCGGCACACACAGUCAGAUGUGAAAUUCCUGGGCUCAACCUGGGGACUGCAUUUGAUACGUGUGAGCUAGAGUGGAGAAGAGGGUCGUGGAAUUUCCAGUGUAGAGGUGAAAUUCGUAGAUAUUGGAAAGAACACCGGUGGCGAAGGCGGCGACCUGGCUUUAACUGACGCUGAGGCGCGAAAGCGUGGGGAGCAAACAGGAUUAGAUACCCUAGUAGUCC
rnacentral:rRNA from 1 species